rnacentral:rRNA from 1 species
UAAGGAAUAUUGGUCAAUGGACGCAAGUCUGAACCAGCCAUGCCGCGUGGAGGAUGAAGGCCCUCUGGGUUGUAAACUUCUUUUAUAUGGGACGAAACCCUCUCAUUCUUGAGAGACUGACGGUACCAUAGGAAUAAGCACCGGCUAACUCCGUGCCAGCAGCCGCGGUAAUACGGAGGGUGCAAGCGUUAUCCGGAUUCACUGGGUUUAAAGGGUGCGUAGGAGGGCAGGUAAGUCAGUGGUGAAAUCCCCCGAGCUUAACUUGGGAACUGCCGUUGAUACUAUCUGUCUUGAAUAUUGUGGAGGUGAGCGGAAUAUGUCAUGUAGCGGUGAAAUGCUUAGACAUGACAUAGAACACCAAUUGCGAAGGCAGCUCGCUACACAAAUAUUGACUCUGAGGCACGAAAGCGUGGGGAUCAAACAGGAUUAGAUACCCUGGUAGUCCACGCCCUAAACGAUGGAUACUCGACAUACGCGAUACACAGUGUGUGUCUGAGCGAAAGCAUUAAGUAUCCCACCUGGGAAGUACGACCGCAAGGUUGAAACUUAAAGGAAUUGACGGGGUCAUAGCUGUUUCCUG